CGACAGGCUUAACACAUGCAAGUCGAGGGGCAGCACAGGUAGUAAUACCGGGUGGCGACCGGCGCACGGGUGAGUAACGCGUAUGCAACUUACCUAUCAGAGGGGGAUAACCCGGCGAAAGUCGGACUAAUACCGCAUGAAGCAGGGGCCCCGCAUGGGGAUAUUUGCUAAAGAUUCAUCGCUGAUAGAUAGGCAUGCGUUCCAUUAGGCAGUUGGCGGGGUAACGGCCCACCAAACCGACGAUGGAUAGGGGUUCUGAGAGGAAGGUCCCCCACAUUGGUACUGAGACACGGACCAAACUCCUACGGGAGGCAGCAGUGAGGAAUAUUGGUCAAUGGCCGAGAGGCUGAACCAGCCAAGUCGCGUGAGGGAUGAAGGUUCUAUGGAUCGUAAACCUCUUUUAUAAGGGAAUAAAGUGCGGGACGUGUCCCGUUUUGUAUGUACCUUAUGAAUAAGGAUCGGCUAACUCCGUGCCAGCAGCCGCGGUAAUACGGAGGAUCCGAGCGUUAUCCGGAUUUAUUGGGUUUAAAGGGUGCGUAGGCGGCCUUUUAAGUCAGCGGUGAAAGUCUGUGGCUCAACCAUAGAAUUGCCGUUGAAACUGGGGGGCUUGAGUAUGUUUGAGGCAGGCGGAAUGCGUGGUGUAGCGGUGAAAUGCAUAGAUAUCACGCAGAACCCCGAUUGCGAAGGCAGCCUGCCAAGCCAUGACUGACGCUGAUGCACGAAAGCGUGGGGAUCAAACAGGAUUAGAUACCCUGGUAGUCCACGCAGUAAACGAUGAUCACUAGCUGUUUGCGAUACACUGUAAGCGGCACAGCGAAAGCGUUAAGUGAUCCACCUGGGGAGUACGCCGGCAACGGUGAAACUCAAAGGAAUUGACGGGGGCCCGCACAAGCGGAGGAACAUGUGGUUUAAUUCGAUGAUACGCAAGGAACCUUACCCGGGUUUGAACGCAUUCGGACCGAGGUGGAAACACCUUUUCUAGCAAUAGCCGUUUGCGAGGUGCUGCAUGGUUGUCGUCAGCUCGUGCCGUGAGGUGUCGGCUUAAGUGCCAUAACGAGCGCAACCCUUGCCACUAGUUACUAACAGGUGAUGCUGAGGACUCUGGUGGGACUGCCAGCGUAAGCUGCGAGGAAGGCGGGGAUGACGUCAAAUCAGCACGGCCCUUACAUCCGGGGCGACACACGUGUUACAAUGGCGUGGACAAAGGGAGGCCACCUGGCGACAGGGAGCGAAUCCCCAAACCACGUCUCAGUUCGGAUCGGAGUCUGCAACCCGACUCCGUGAAGCUGGAUUCGCUAGUAAUCGCGCAUCAGCCAUGGCGCGGUGAAUACGUUCCCGGGCCUUGUACACACCGCCCGUCAAGCCAUGGGAGCCGGGGGUACCUGAAGUACGUAACCGCAAGGAGCGUCCUAGGGUAAAACUGGUGACUGGGGCUA
rnacentral:rRNA from 1 species